GUGGCAGGGGCGGCGGUAAUACGAGAGGUGCAAGCGUUAUUCGGAAUUAUUGGGCGUAAAGGGUGCGCAGGCGGUUUAUUAAGUCAAUCGUUUAAUUCCUCGGCCUAACUGAGGAUCAGCGGUAGAAACUGGUAAACUAGAGUAUGAGAGAGAGAAGCGGAAUUCUCGGAGUAGCGGUAAAAUGCGUAGAUCUCGAGAGGAACACCGAUGGCGAAGGCAGCUUCUUGGCUCAUUACUGACGCUCAUGCACGAAAGCGUGGGGAGCAAACAGGAUUAGAUACCCUGGUAGUCCACGCCGUAAACGAUGAUCACUGGACGUUAGCCCUGUUUUGCAGGGUUAGUGUCGAAGCUAACGCGUUAAGUGAUCCGCCUGGGGAGUACGGUCGCAAGAUUAAAACUUAAAGAAAUUGACGGGGGUCCGCACAAGCGGUGGAACAUGUGGUUUAAUUCGACACUACGCGAGGAACCUUACCUAGACUUGACAUGUUUUUGACCCGCCAUAGAAAUAUGGCUUUCCUUAGUUUACUAAGGACAAAUUCACAGGUGCUGCAUGGCUGUCGUCAGCUCGUGUUCGUGAGAUGUUGGGUUAAGUCCUUUAACGAGCACAACUCCUGUCGUUAGUUGNUAUUCCUUUUGGAAGCACUCUAACGAGACUGCCUGGAAACCAGGAGGAAGGCGGGAAUGAUGUCAAGUCCGCAUGGUCCUUAUGUCUAGGGCGACACACGUGUUACAAUGGCUGUUACAAUGGGACGCUAACCUGCAAAGGUGUGCCAAUCUCAAAAAGACAGUCUAAGUUCGGAUUGAGGUCUGCAACCCGACCUCAUGAAGCUGAAAUCGCUAGUAAUCGCAUAUCAGAACGAUGCGGUGAAUACGUUCUCGGACCUUGUACACACCGCCCGUCAAACCAUGAAAGCUGUCUGCACCCGAAAUCAUUUUAGCUGACCUGAAUAAGGAGGCGAAUGCUGAAGGUGUGGGGAGUGUAUUGGGGUUAAGUCGUAACAAGGUAACC
rnacentral:rRNA from 1 species